UACGUAGGGUGCAAGCGUUGUCCGGAAUCAUUGGGCGUAAAGCGCGUGUAGGCGGUUCGGUAAGUCCGCUGUGAAAGUCGGGGGCUCAACCCUCGAAAGCCGGUGGAUACUGUCGGACUAGAGUACGGAAGAGGCGAGUGGAAUUCCUGGUGUAGCGGUGAAAUGCGCAGAUAUCAGGAGGAACACCCAAGUUGCGAAGGCAGCUCGCUGGGACGUUACUGACGCUGAGACGCGAAAGCGUGGGGAGCAAACAGG
rnacentral:rRNA from 1 species